rnacentral:rRNA from 1 species
AUUGAACGCUGGCGGCAGGCUUAACACAUGCAAGUCGAACGAGUGGCGGACGGGUGAGUAAUGCGUGGGCAUAAAGCUUAUGGAGGGGGAUAACUACGGGAAACUGUAGAUAAUACCGCGUACCAUAAGAUGAGCACAAGUGGGAUUAGGUAGUUGGUGAGGUAAAGGAUAACAAAGCCGAAGAUUUCUAGCUGGGCUGAGAGGAUGACCCGCCAGACAGGGACUGAGCAACGGCCCAAACUCCUACGGGCGGCAGAAGUGGGUAAUAGUGCGCAAUGGGGGCAACCUGACGCAGCCCUGCCGCGUGAAUGAAGAAGGACUUCGGUGUGUAAAGUUCUUUCGGUAGCGAGGCGUUAACGACAGAAGAAGCACCGGCUAACUCCGUGCCAGCAGCCGCGGUAAUUC